AAACGAUUUUUCUGUUUUUCCUCACUUGAUACAGUGUGUAUUACCUUGUCAAUAUGUUGAGUUGGUUUCAUUAGAUCUUCAGCUCUUCUCUUACAGCCAUUAUGAUAUGAUGAAGAUGUUGUACCAAUAUGAACAAGAAAUGCACAUUUACUUCCCUGGCCAACCCUCUUCCAACUAUCAAAUCCAACAGUAACCAAUGAUGAAAUAUUAG
rnacentral:lncRNA from 1 species